CGUGGAGCAAACCUCAGAAAGCCAAUCUCAUUCGGAUUGUAGGCUGCAACUCGCCUACAUGAAGUUGGAAUCGCUAGUAAUCGCGAAUCAGCAUGUCGCGGUGAAUACGUUCCCGGGUCUUGUACACACCGCCCGUCACACCAUGGGAGUCAGUAACGCCCGAAGUCAGUGACCCAACCUAAGAAGGAGGGAGCUGCCGAAGGUGGGACCGAUAACUGGGGUGAAGUCGUAACAAGGUAUC
rnacentral:rRNA from 1 species